AUUGAACGCUGGCGGCAUGCCUUACACAUGCAAGUCGAACGGCAGCAUAGGAGCUUGCUCCUGAUGGCGAGUGGCGAACGGGUGAGUAAUAUAUCGGAACGUGCCCUAGAGUGGGGGAUAACUAGUCGAAAGACUAGCUAAUACCGCAUACGAUCUACGGAUGAAAGUGGGGGAUCGCAAGACCUCAUGCUCCUGGAGCGGCCGAUAUCUGAUUAGCUAGUUGGUGGGGUAAAAGCCUACCAAGGCAACGAUCAGUAGCUGGUCUGAGAGGACGACCAGCCACACUGGGACUGAGACACGGCCCAGACUCCUACGGGAGGCAGCAGUGGGGAAUUUUGGACAAUGGGGGCAACCCUGAUCCAGCAAUGCCGCGUGAGUGAAGAAGGCCUUCGGGUUGUAAAGCUCUUUUGUCAGGGAAGAAACGGUAGUAGCGAAUAACUAUUACUAAUGACGGUACCUGAAGAAUAAGCACCGGCUAACUACGUG
rnacentral:rRNA from 1 species